AGCGAACGCUGGCGGCAGGCCUAACACAUGCCAGUCGAACGGCAGCACAGAGGAGCUUGCUCCUUGGGUGGCGAGUGGCGGACGGGUGAGGCAUGCGUCGGAAUCUGCCUUUUUGUGGGGGAUAACGAAGGGAAACUUACGCUAAUACCGCAUACGACCUACGGGUGAAAGUGGGGGACCGCAAGGCACCACGCAGAAAGACGAGCCGGCGCCGGAUUCGCUGGUUGGCGGGGUGAAGGCCCACCAAGGCGACGGGCCGGAGCUGGUCGGCGAGGAUAAUCGGCCACCCUGGGACUGGGACACGGCCCAGGCUCCGACGGGAGGCAGCAGUGGGAAAUAUUGGGCAAUGGGCGCAAGCCUGAUCCAGCCAUGCCGCGUGUGUGAAGAAGGCCUUCGGGGUGUAAAGCACUUUUGUCCGGAAAGAAAUCCUUUCGAUUAAUACUCGGGAGGGAUGACGGUACCGGAAGAAUAAGCACCGGCUAACUUCGUGCCAGCAGCCGCCGUAAUAC
rnacentral:rRNA from 1 species